rnacentral:rRNA from 1 species
GACGUAGGGCGCGAGCGUUGUCCGGAUUUAUUGGGCGUAAAGAGCUCGUAGGCGGCUUGUCGCGUCGUCCGUGAAAACCCACAGCUCAACUGUGGGCUUGCGGUCGAUACGGGCAGGCUAGAGUUCGGUAGGGGAGACUGGAAUUCCUGGUGUAGCGGUGAAAUGCGCAGAUAUCAGGAGGAACACCGGUGGCGAAGGCGGGUCUCUGGGCCGAUACUGACGCUGAGGAGCGAAAGCGUGGGGAGCGAACAAG